rnacentral:lncRNA from 1 species
AGGCCCCGGGGCAAAUGGAGGGCGGCGUGCGCUGUGCUUAUCGGCCCCUAACGGGGCCGGAGCCGAGGCUCAUGGUGCAGGGAGAUUCGCCCGCCGCCGCCAGCAGCUCUGUCUUGGCAUUGCGCUGCCUACAGCCUACCCGGCCGUCACCGAACGCGGGAGCGCCGGGGAUCUGGGCGGAGGAGCCAGGAGAGGCGGGGAGGCACGGGGUGUGAAGUGCGGCCUGUAUAGCAACCGGCGCACGGCGCCUUCCGCGGGUUGUGACCUUUGAAGAGAAAUGCCGUAGAAGCAUGGACGUGGCUUUUCACCAAGGUUAUUCACUAAUUUAAGUGUUUUUUUUAAUUUUAUUUUAUUUUAUUUUAUUUUUUGAGACAGGUACUCACUCUGUCUCCCAGGCCGGAGUGCAAUUAUCUGUACAAUUGAUAAUCUAUAAGAUGGUCCAACCUGCGUAACAGAGUGAGAUUCCGUCUCAAAAAAAAAAAAAAAAAAGAAAGAAAAAAGGCCGGGCGCGGUGGCUCACACCUGUAAUCCCAGCCCUUUGGUAAGCGAAGGCGGUUGGAUCACUUGAGGUCAGGAGUUCAAGACCAGCCUGGCCAACGUGAUGAAAUCCCAUCUCUACUAAAAAUACAAAAAUUAACCGGACAUGGUGGUGGGAGCCUGUAAUCCCAGGUACUCGGGAGGCUGAGGCACGAGAAUCGCUUGUACCCGGGAGGCAGAGGUUGCAGUGAGCCGCGAUCGCGCCGCUGCACUCCAGCCCUGGCGACAGAGUGAGACUCUCAAAAAAAAAGAAGAACAAAAAAAGGAUAAAUCGAUAAGAUGGGAUCCACAAUGACGUGAAAGAAGCUAAGGAAAAUCUGGAACAUUAUACAGCAUCUACAAUUAGCUUCAGAGAAAAGAAAGGUUUUAUUACCAUCCUUUGUUAAAACCCUCCCCCAUGGUCUAAAUGAAUAAACAGAAGCCAUUUAAGGGACUAUUUA